rnacentral:rRNA from 1 species
ACACAUGCAAGUCGAGGGGCAGCAUGGUCUUAGCUUGCUAAGGCCGAUGGCGACCGGCGCACGGGUGAGUAACACGUAUCCAACCUGCCGUCUACUCUUGGACAGCCUUCUGAAAGGAAGAUUAAUACAAGAUGGCAUCAUGAGUUCACAUGUUCACAUGAUUAAAGGUAUUCCGGUAGACGAUGGGGAUGCGUUCCAUUAGAUAGUAGGCGGGGUAACGGCCCACCUAGUCUUCGAUGGAUAGGGGUUCUGAGAGGAAGGUCCCCCACAUUGGAACUGAGACACGGUCCAAACUCCUACGGGAGGCAGCAGUGAGGAAUAUUGGUCAAUGGGCGAGAGCCUGAACCAGCCAAGUAGCGUGAAGGAUGACUGCCCUAUGGGUUGUAAACUUCUUUUAUAAAGGAAUAAAGUCAGGUAUGCAUACCCGUUUGCAUGUACUUUAUGAAUAAGGAUCGGCUAACUCCGUGCCAGCAGCCGCGGUAAUACGGAGGAUCCGAGCGUUAUCCGGAUUUAUUGGGUUUAAAGGGAGCGUAGAUGGAUGUUUAAGUCAGUUGUGAAAGUUUGCGGCUCAACCGUAAAAUUGCAGUUGAUACUGGAUAUCCUGAGUGCAGUUGAGGCAGGCGGAAUUCGUGGUGUAGCGGUGAAAUGCUUAGAUAUCACGAAGAACUCCGAUUGCGAAGGCAGCCUGCUAAGCUGCAACUGACAUUGAGGCUCGAAAGUG